rnacentral:rRNA from 1 species
UAAUACGGGGGAUGCGAGCGUUGUCCGGAUUCACUGGGCGUAAAGGGCGCGUAGGCGGCCGUCUCAGUCGGGCUUGUAAGUGCGGGGCUCACCCCCGUGUUGGGCUCGGGACGGGACGGCUGGGGCGCGGCAGAGGGAGACGGAAUGCCGGGUGUAGUGGUGAAAUGCGUAGAGAUCCGGCGGAACACCGGUGGCGAAAGCGGUCUCCUGGGCCGAGGGCCGACGCUGAGGCGCGAGAGCGUGGGGAGCGAACCGGAUUAGAUACCCGGGUAGUCCACGCCGUAAACGGUGGAUGCUAGGUGUGAGGGGUAUCGACCCCCCUCGUGCCGGCGCGAACGCAGGAAGCAUCCCGCCUGGGGAGUACGGCCGCAAGGCUA